UGGAGAGCCACUUAUCCGGCCGGACGUGGUGGACAUUGUGGCCCAGCUCCAGCGGCUGGAAGGGCUGAGAACCAUAGGUGUUACCACCAAUGGCAUCAACCUGGCCCGGCUACUGCCCCAGCUUCAGAAGGCUGGUCUCAGUGCCAUCAACAUCAGCCUGGACACCCUGGUGCCUGCCAAGUUUGAGUUCAUUGUCCGCAGGAAAGGCUUCCACAAAGUCAUGGAGGGCAUCCACAAGGCCAUCGAGCUGGGCUACAACCCUGUGAAGGUGAGGCCGUGCCCCUGCCGUAGAUUCCCG
rnacentral:lncRNA from 1 species